rnacentral:lncRNA from 1 species
AUUGUGACGUAGCCUUUAAGACGUGGGAGCAUUUAACUUUCCCAACAGCAAGAACUAGGUCCCACCAUACUCAGACAUAUGAGAGCAUUUAACCAAGAUGUGAGCAGAGAGGUCCGUUUCCACAUUCAGACAACCUGACAGAGAUUCCAAGUGCCUCAGCCUCCUCUCCCAAGGAGUUCCAGCUCCUUUCCCUCCACACCAACUUCCUUCCCCCCCCCCCCCCCCCCCCCCCCCCCCCCGUCCCCCAAACAUCUAAGCAUCUAUUCUGAACCAGGAUCUGUCCUAAAAAACUUGGGAACACAACAAGUAACAGAGGCAAGAACCCUACGCUCUUGAAACGUAACACACGGAAAGAAGACAAGAAUUUCUGAUGACAGGUGCUAGGGAGUGCUAUGACAUCAUGACAAGAUGGAGGGAGGCUCCAUCUAGGAAAUCCUCCUCAGAUGGAAACAUUCGAAUUCGUCCUCAAAUCGCAAGGGGCACACCCUUCAAAGCACAGACCCACCUUAUACAUGGAAGGCCCUUAGUGAACAUCAUGUCUCAACUCCUUUUAAUUGCUGGUGAGAAAAUAAAGGCUCAGUGACACCAAAAGACUAGCACAGGGUCUCCUAAAUGUGUGGGUGCCACCUCCCGCUACCCUAGGCCACAUUUGGAUUUAAUCAUUUGAAGAGUGAGCAGCUUAGAUUUGUACUUUAAGUCUCCUCAAACACACUCACAUGUAUAAUUCUAUUUCUAGAACAACCUUUGGGAAAUGGUGUCUGGCUUUCCUUCAACAGAUAACAAAAUUGAGAUGAGGCAUAGAUCUAAUAAGUGAACCAAGACCUUCCUUAGGCAUUGGUUUCCCAGACCUGUACCCUCUCCCUAGCUGCCUAGGAACAUAAGAUAGUAUCAACAAGUCCAUAUGGCAGAGACCUUACCAGAGUCAAAGAUGAGAACAAUUUGCUUGGCCAUAACCCACAGAUUCAACGUCCCUGAGUUGUCUGUACAUGAAAGAACUUGUGGUUCUAUGUGACUAGACAAUGGUGACCUGAGACGGCAAGGGCCCUGUGACUUACAGAUACAGGAUGGUGCUUUCUACACCAAGGCCACCUGAGAGUCUUCAUACCCAGCCCAGGAGUCUCCAGAACCGAUGGACCCUUAGGGAAAGGCCCCAAUGACGAGAAAUGAGUUCCUUCCAAGCUUGCCUACACACAGAAGCAUCUGGGAGAAUUCAAGACAUUUCAGGUUCACACAAGAUAGAGAUUGAGAGAUUCUCCCAAAGGGAGACUGGAGGACCUGAAUUUGCACUCAGUCAACCCAGCCAUCCGUGGCUUUCCUCGUGGCUAACACUGUCUUGGGAAACAGAAGAGGCACGGGUGGAAGUUAGGUUCGGCUGUAUGUUUUAGGGGCUGGCUGCCUUCCCUUAAACCCUAAAUGCUUGGAUAGUAAAGUCUCAGAAGAAACUUCCCCAUGGCCUGGGACUUCUGUGGUCUCUGUCCCUUGGCUGUGUAUCUCCAUACAGCACCCCCACCUCUUCCACCCCAUCGUAUAUAUACGACACUCCUGGGAAGCGAGCAGCCCAAUGCCUUCAUGAAGUAGAGCCUGCACAUCUCCAGUAAAAAGAACUGUGACACCUCUGGAAGGCCAUCCUCACCCCCACUUAACCUGUGCUCCUGCCACCACAGAGGCCUCAACCCCCCCACAGCCCCUUGCCAGCAAAAAGAGAAGGGAGAAGUGGCCCCAGCCCAGGCAGCAGGUCGCAGACCGCUCUUCUUACCUGUGGCGAAGGAUCCGCUCCGUCACUGGAAAUUCUCCCCGCUGUGAACACUACUAGUCUUAGAACUCACUGGACUUUGGACAAAGAUUGAUUUAAAAGCUGAUGUAUUUAACAGGGAUGUGUGGUCUGAGUUCAAGUGACCUCUGUCCUGCUCCCGGCCAGCUGGCAGGGUCCUAAGCUUGAAAUGCUCAAGAGGCCUCAGUAAAAUCAAGCCCCGCCCCCACCCCAGCCUAACAAUGGGAAGGGUAGUAGAGAAAGGUGGGGAGGGGGUGCCUCAGCCUCUCCAGUUCUAUCUAAUAAACAGAAGACUGGGUCACACCCAAACAAUCCCC